rnacentral:sRNA from 1 species
UACAGCAUUCCAUCAAACAAUGCCUGAAAAAGCAUAUCUAUACAGCUUGC